UGAGGCGUGGCUUCCGAGCUAACGCGUUAAGUCGACCGCCUGGGAGUACGGCCGCAAGGUUAAAAUUCAAAUGAAUGACGGGGGCCCGCACAAGCGGUGGAGCAUGUGGUUUAAUUCGAUGCAACGCGAAGAACCUUACCUGGCCUUGACAUCCACGGAAUUUGGCAGAGAUGCCUUAGUGCCUUCGGGAACCGUGAGACAGGUGCUGCAUGGCUGUCGUCAGCUCGUGUUGUGAAAUGUUGGGUUAAGUCCCGCAACGAGCGCAACCCUUAUCCUUUGUUGCCAGCGAUACGGUCGGGAACUCAAAGGAGACUGCCGGUGAUAAACCGGAGGAAGGUGGGGAUGACGUCAAGUCAUCAUGGCCCUUACGGCCAGGGCUACACACGUGCUACAAUGGCGCAUACAAAGAGAAGCGACCUCGCGAGAGCAAGCGGACCUCAUAAAGUGCGUCGUAGUCCGGAUCGGAGUCUGCAACUCGACUCCGUGAAGUCGGAAUCGCUAGUAAUCGUAGAUCAGAAUGCUACGGUGAAUACGUUCCCGGGCCUUGUACACACCGCCCGUCACACCAUGGGAGUGGGUUGCAAAAGAAGUAGGUAGCUUAACCUUCGGGAGGGCGCUUACCACUUUGUGAUUCAUGACUGGGGUGAAGUCGUAACAAGGUAACCAAGGGCGAAUUCCAG
rnacentral:rRNA from 1 species